ACAAGUCCAUUUUUCUCUCUGUUGAGUGAUUUCAUGAGAUGACCUUGUGCGGGGUCUUCUCCUCUGCGGGUCCUGCCAACUUUCUUGUUGAGUUCGGUGGGUUCCGGGCUGAGGUAGUAGGUUGUAUAGUUGAGGAUAACACCACAGGAGAUAACUGUACAGCCUCCUAUCUUUCCCCGGGGCUUGGCCAUGACGACGAAGCUGAAAUCCAAGAAGUGGUGAACAAUUGACAAAAACCUGGAGUAACCUGGAGCAAAAGAAUAAGCGCACGUCCGUGUAAAAAGGAAAGGUGCGAAUAUUGGAUGAUGGAGGUCAAAAAAACAGACAUUGUCAGCUGAAGUCGAAGGUUAAUGUUAUUGGCCUUACAGUCAAACAUCAAAGAAGGCCGUAGAUAGUACUGUUGGGUUUAUAAGGAUAUAAAUGGGCAUCGACGAGGGGUGGAAGAAUGUAGUCAGGAAAGGGGCAGAGAGGAAAACCUGGGUUUUAUUCACCAAUUCUCUGUUAGGAAAUCAAAAGUCAAAUGCAGAUCCAAGUUGCCCAUCAGAGCAUCUCGAGACACAUAUUCUUACGGCAAGUGAACAGGAUGUACAGCAAAGCCGCAGGGCAAUUACCGUGGGUAAAGCCAGCCAAUGUGCUGUGGAAAUAGAUCAGUAAGUUACUUCAAUGAUGAGGACAAUUCAACCAAAAUGAACCAGUUUCACCCAUUCCAAGCCAUGGGCGAGUAUGUGGCAGGCUGGGCUAGAGGUAGCCAUUUUUUUGCAUCCUGCAAGGACUGGGAUACUUCAUAUAGAGUCAGUUGGUAACAAAUGUUUCUAUUCCCACUUUAAUGUCUGCUCUGAUAGGCAGCAGGAGGCUAAAUGAUGUUUCAGGUACCCCGCUGAACACGCACGGUUACAUUAUUACUCCUUGGUCUUUUGGCGCCCUCUGCUGAUCCUAGGCUUGAUGUGCGCUAACUCACACCCUAACCCAUUACUAGUCUUCUAGUGCCCCUUGCUGUGUCAGAGCUCAGUAUACUUAGUGCUAUUAGCAGACUUUCCCAACAGCGCCACCCACUGGUCAUAUAUGAGUAAUACACAGAGCACACACACGGAUUUUAGGUCUUAUGUCACCCCCUGGUGGCUGAUAUAGUGUAAAGCAGCUAAAUUUAUCACUGCCUCUCGAUGAACUGAACCAGAGACAGACAGAAAUUUCCAUAUAUACAACUCCAGCAUUAUGCAGACAUAUGCAUCGAAUAGGAUGAAUCCAGAAUCUAGACAGUAUAAAAAUAUCUAAUGUUAAAAUAAAAUCGGACACCAAAGAGCACUCUGACACCGUCAUACAGCGUUAUGUAUCCGCAUAAAGCCGCCCAAAUUUAUUCAGGCACGUACCCGUCUAGACACAGGGUGGGAAAUAUAUGGAUAGCUUUAUAGACGAAAACGCUAGACAUGGAUUAAGUUGCCGGUGCGAAACUAUCAAAUGGGAAGGAUGCACGGCACGUUUACAAACAGGCGUAAUAAAAUAACACGGGAUAAAAAAAA